GCUUUUUGGAUUCUAUUACCAGAAAGUAACAAGCUUUUCUUCAUCUUUUAAAGUCAAGAUCUAAAGAAUGUUAGCGUAUUGUGAAGCAAUUAUUUAUUCCAAUUAAGAUAAAAGGUAUACAGUUCAAGGGAUUUAGUAUUACCAUUAAAAAUGAUAGACAAAUGGAUAUAUUUUAGGAUUAAAUCUUUUUAAGUUCUAUUAGUGUGAUAUAGCCUGGUGGGAGAGCAAGGGUUACUACAAUUCCAUUAUUUUGGAGUUAAACCUUAAAUAGUGAGCACACACAUUCCUCUAAAGAUUAAGAAGCAUUUCCUUUCAUACUUGAUUUGCCACAUGGAGUUGAUUACUUCUAAAUUUGAUUCGACUCUUAUAGAGUAAGCCUCAUCAGUUCCAGGGGAGAACUCUAAAGCUUUGACUUUAAUGCCUCAGAAUGGUGCUACAUGUAAAUUAAGUUAAUGUGUAGUCAUCUCUAUAGAUUUGAAUUCUCAGGAAAAUAACGUCUUACAAUAUUUCUUUUUCCUGUAAUAAAUGACCUGUAAUAAAUUUCCUAUAAGGAAUCCAUAACCAGCAAUAUCAGAAUGAGUACAAAAUUUAAUGUUGUCAUAUACAUUGUUUUUGAACUUCAGUAUAGUUAGUAAAUGCUAUUGAAAUCUUAUGGAACUUAAAUAUUGCAUUAUAAUCCAUGAUUACAAUAACAAGAGGUUUAAGUCAUAUAUAAGAAAAGUGAAUCUUUUAUCUCCAUAUUUGUUAAAACAUAUAUAGGCCAGACAUUUCUUCAGACUUCAUUUCCUCAGAGAGAACUUCUCUGAAUAUCCCAAUUACCCUCGUUUGUCAUUUACCCUGCCUUAAUUUUUUUGUCAGCGCUUAGUUUUACUGAUGAUAUAUUAUAUAUUAAUCAUUUUAUUUUUAAUCUCACUAGAAUAAGAUUUUGAGUUACUACGGUAUGUCUAGUACUUUUCUCAAUUGAUAUUUGUUAACUGAAUGUAUAAAUGCAUGAUAAUAUAUGCCAAUGAAGGGCCCUUUAUUUGGAGUUAGACAACAUUGGUUGGCAUGACUAUUAAUAAUGGCAAAAGGUGAAGGACUAUUGAUAAUAACCUUGUCUAUAAAAUAAAAUAUGAAUGAUGUCAUUUACUAGGAUUGUUGGUUGAACAUAUCAAAUGAGCCCCAAUGAAAGUACUGUAUACAAUGUUCGAGUUUACUGAUUGUUAGCAUUGUCAUUGCUUUGACUUCUUUUUUUGAACCAGUUAAACUAUCUUUAAAUUUGAUCACAUUCUUUAAAUUAUUUUGUUUUCCAAAAGGAGGAGACAAAUUUAACUGCCUUAGGUAUAUUUAUUUAAUUCAUAUAUCAUCUACUAUUUGACUAAACAUAUAAACAAAAAAUAGACUGGGCAAGAUUUAAAAAUUGGACUCUGUCACAUCUCUAUAGCACUAAUCACUUUCUUUAGAGGCAUAUAUUUUCUAAAGAUUUAUAAUAUAUGCAUAUAUGUUAUAUUAAGUAUCAAAAGAAAACAGAAAAAAUAGAUUGUCGAGGUAGGUAUAAACAUAGAUUCCUGAGUAAUGAAGAAUGCUCUAUCUAUUUAGAUACCUAAAAAAUACAAGAAUGGAGGAUUGGGGGUUAAUGAGAUAUAUAGAAGAGAAAAUUUAUGUACUUAUGAGUGUGAUCAUAAAACAGGUAGAUCUUUGCUUUUUAUAAUAAUGCUUAUGAGAGAGAAUUAUUCAGAGAGUAGACUUUCCACAAUGAAUGAAUAUGACCUAUCUCAUACGCGUCAGCCAACUUAAAUAUGUAGUCACCUUACCCCUAUUUUUGCAUGAAGUGACCAAAAACAAAGUGACCAUGGUGGUAGAGAUUACCUGAGCCCAAUAAGAAUGAAUGAGCCUCUCAACAAAGAUGGUAGAGCUACUGUCACUGCUGUAUGUAAGAUUUGCCAACAAAAGAGACCAAAAAUGGGCCUUCAAUAUGGCACAAUUCUUUGAAGAGAGUAGGUCUCAUGUUGGUUACAUAGGACUUCUACCCUGGAAGGUACAAAUAUUCAUCUUUAGCAGAUUUAGUAUUUAUUCAGAAUAUAGAUUUACCUUUUCUG
rnacentral:lncRNA from 1 species